CGUUCGUAGUUGAACUUGUGCUUCAUACGGGUAGUACAACUAUAAUUGUGGAUUGUACAUUACCUUAUGUAUGCAAGCGUAUUACCGGUGGAGUUCUAAUGCAUAAUUAUACUUGUAUUUUUAUGUAAUACCUCCUAUUUAAACCUACUAUGGUGCUCUUCAUCGAGUGUUGUUGUGGGCCGGUACAAUUACUUUGAACAAAUUAGAGUGCUUAAAGCAGGCUCCAAAUGCCUGAAUAUUUUGUGCAUGGAAUAAUGAAAUAAGACCUCUGUUCUACUUUCAUUGGUUUUUAGAUCAAGAGGUAAUGAUUAAUAGAAGCAGUUUGGGGGCAUUAGUAUUACGACGCGAGAGGU
rnacentral:rRNA from 2 species